rnacentral:snoRNA from 1 species
AUUCCCAUUGAUGUUACUUUUAACCAUGCUAAUGCUGAAAUACAUGAUUAUCAAUAUCACUAAACUGAGGGGACU